UGAGGCCAGCUGGUCCCCUCCUCCAGACCCGGACAGACCCGGCGGUCAAACAUGAAGAGUACCGCCGGGUCUGGGGGCAACAGCCCCCGCCGGGCGAGGCCAAACGGGGGGCCCUCAUGAAAAAAAUGCAGAAGAAAUUGGCUAAAGGACCAGUUCCUAAAACAAAACAAAAGAAAACCCCACCAAAAUCGCCAUCAAAAUAAGGGGGUCCUCCUGCAUGGUGAGUGUAGUUGAACCAAUAGAAUGUUCUGCUUGAUAAUUAUUGCUCUCUAUUUCUCAACAGCCUUUCUUCAAUUUUCAU